rnacentral:rRNA from 1 species
UAAGCGACUAAGCGUACACGGUGGAUGCCCUGGCAGUCAGAGGCGAUGAAGGACGUGCUAAUCUGCGAUAAGCGUCGGUAAGGUGAUAUGAACCGUUAUAACCGGCGAUUUCCGAAUGGGGAAACCCAGUGUGUUUCGACACACUAUCAUUAACUGAAUCCAUAGGUUAAUGAGGCGAACCGGGGGAACUGAAACAUCUAAGUACCCCGAGGAAAAGAAAUCAACCGAGAUUCCCCCAGUAGCGGCGAGCGAACGGGGAGCAGCCCAGAGCCUGAAUCAGUGUGUGUGUUAGUGGAAGCGUCUGGAAAGGCGCGCGAUACAGGGUGACAGCCCCGUACACAAAAAUGCACAUACUGUGAGCUCGAUGAGUAGGGCGGGACACGUGGUAUCCUGUCUGAAUAUGGGGGGACCAUCCUCCAAGGCUAAAUACUCCUGACUGACCGAUAGUGAACCAGUACCGUGAGGGAAAGGCGAAAAGAACCCCGGCGAGGGGAGUGAAAAAGAACCUGAAACCGUGUACGUACAAGCAGUGGGAGCCUCUUUUAUGGGGUGACUGCGUACCUUUUGUAUAAUGGGUCAGCGACUUAUAUUCUGUAGCAAGGUUAACCGAAUAGGGGAGCCGAAGGGAAACCGAGUCUUAACCGGGCGUUAAGUUGCAGGGUAUAGACCCGAAACCCGGUGAUCUAGCCAUGGGCAGGUUGAAGGUUGGGUAACACUAACUGGAGGACCGAACCGACUAAUGUUGAAAAAUUAGCGGAUGACUUGUGGCUGGGGGUGAAAGGCCAAUCAAACCGGGAGAUAGCUGGUUCUCCCCGAAAGCUAUUUAGGUAGCGCCUCGUGAAUUCAUCUCCGGGGGUAGAGCACUGUUUCGGCAAGGGGGUCAUCCCGACUUACCAACCCGAUGCAAACUGCGAAUACCGGAGAAUGUUAUCACGGGAGACACACGGCGGGUGCUAACGUCCGUCGUGAAGAGGGAAACAACCCAGACCGCCAGCUAAGGUCCCAAAGUCAUGGUUAAGUGGGAAACGAUGUGGGAAGGCCCAGACAGCCAGGAUGUUGGCUUAGAAGCAGCCAUCAUUUAAAGAAAGCGUAAUAGCUCACUGGUCGAGUCGGCCUGCGCGGAAGAUGUAACGGGGCUAAACCAUGCACCGAAGCUGCGGCAGCGACACUGUGUGUUGUUGGGUAGGGGAGCGUUCUGUAAGCCUGUGAAGGUGUACUGUAAGGUAUGCUGGAGGUAUCAGAAGUGCGAAUGCUGACAUAAGUAACGAUAAAGCGGGUGAAAAGCCCGCUCGCCGGAAGACCAAGGGUUCCUGUCCAACGUUAAUCGGGGCAGGGUGAGUCGACCCCUAAGGCGAGGCCGAAAGGCGUAGUCGAUGGGAAACAGGUUAAUAUUCCUGUACUUGGUGUUACUGCGAAGGGGGGACGGAGAAGGCUAUGUUGGCCGGGCGACGGUUGUCCCGGUUUAAGCGUGUAGGCUGGUUUUCCAGGCAAAUCCGGAAAAUCAAGGCUGAGGCGUGAUGACGAGGCACUACGGUGCUGAAGCAACAAAUGCCCUGCUUCCAGGAAAAGCCUCUAAGCAUCAGGUAACAUCAAAUCGUACCCCAAACCGACACAGGUGGUCAGGUAGAGAAUACCAAGGCGCUUGAGAGAACUCGGGUGAAGGAACUAGGCAAAAUGGUGCCGUAACUUCGGGAGAAGGCACGCUGAUAUGUAGGUGAAGUCCCUCGCGGAUGGAGCUGAAAUCAGUCGAAGAUACCAGCUGGCUGCAACUGUUUAUUAAAAACACAGCACUGUGCAAACACGAAAGUGGACGUAUACGGUGUGACGCCUGCCCGGUGCCGGAAGGUUAAUUGAUGGGGUCAGCGCAAGCGAAGCUCUUGAUCGAAGCCCCGGUAAACGGCGGCCGUAACUAUAACGGUCCUAAGGUAGCGAAAUUCCUUGUCGGGUAAGUUCCGACCUGCACGAAUGGCGUAAUGAUGGCCAGGCUGUCUCCACCCGAGACUCAGUGAAAUUGAACUCGCUGUGAAGAUGCAGUGUACCCGCGGCAAGACGGAAAGACCCCGUGAACCUUUACUAUAGCUUGACACUGAACAUUGAGCCUUGAUGUGUAGGAUAGGUGGGAGGCUUUGAAGUGUGGACGCCAGUCUGCAUGGAGCCGACCUUGAAAUACCACCCUUUAAUGUUUGAUGUUCUAACGUGGACCCGUGAUCCGGGUUGCGGACAGUGUCUGGUGGGUAGUUUGACUGGGGCGGUCUCCUCCUAAAGAGUAACGGAGGAGCACGAAGGUUGGCUAAUCCUGGUCGGACAUCAGGAGGUUAGUGCAAUGGCAUAAGCCAGCUUGACUGCGAGCGUGACGGCGCGAGCAGGUGCGAAAGCAGGUCAUAGUGAUCCGGUGGUUCUGAAUGGAAGGGCCAUCGCUCAACGGAUAAAAGGUACUCCGGGGAUAACAGGCUGAUACCGCCCAAGAGUUCAUAUCGACGGCGGUGUUUGGCACCUCGAUGUCGGCUCAUCACAUCCUGGGGCUGAAGUAGGUCCCAAGGGUAUGGCUGUUCGCCAUUUAAAGUGGUACGCGAGCUGGGUUUAGAACGUCGUGAGACAGUUCGGUCCCUAUCUGCCGUGGGCGCUGGAGAACUGAGGGGGGCUGCUCCUAGUACGAGAGGACCGGAGUGGACGCAUCACUGGUGUUCGGGUUGUCAUGCCAAUGGCACUGCCCGGUAGCUAAAUGCGGAAGAGAUAAGUGCUGAAAGCAUCUAAGCACGAAACUUGCCCCGAGAUGAGUUCUCCCUGACCCUUUAAGGGUCCUGAAGGAACGUUGAAGACGACGACGUUGAUAGGCCGGGUGUGUAAGCGCAGCGAUGCGUUGAGCUAACCGGUACUAAUGAACCGUGAGGCUUAACCU